GUAGUCUCGCACAGAUGCAUAUCAAUAAGCGGAGGAAAAGAAACUAACAAGGAUUCCCUUAGUAACGGCGAGUGAAGCGGGAAGAGCUCAAAUUUGAAAUCUUCAAGGUUUUACCUUGACGAAUUGUAGUUUAAAGAAGUGUUUUCUGUUGAAGUUUUGGUAAAAGUUCUUUGGAAUAGGACAUCAUAGAGGGUGAGAAUCCCGUAUUUGACCAUUAUUUUCAGCUGUGUGAUACACUUUCAAAGAGUCGGAUUGUUUGGGAAUGCAGUCCAAAAUGGGUGGUAAAUUUCAUUCUAAAGCUAAAUAUUGGCGAGAGACCGAUAGCGAACAAGUACCGUGAGGGAAAGAUGAAAAGAACUUUGAAAAGAGAGUUAAACAGUACGUGAAAUUGUCAAAAGGGAAGCGUUUGACACCAGUGUUGUUUUCUCGAAAAUCAAUUAAAAAGAGUUAGAUUUUGUUGUGUAUUGACCUUAACAGCUUGCAUUUCAAUUUUCUUGCUUUUUUUAAUGCACUUUUCGUUUAACAAGUCAACAUCAGUUUCUUUUGUUGUAAAAAGGUCAUUGGAAGGUGGCUUUCUUUUCGGAGAAAGUGUUUAUAGCCUUUGACUCCUGCAAUCGGAGAGACUGAGGUCUGCAGCGUAGAUCCUUCGGGGUUAGAUACAUUUGUGCUAAGUUAUAGCUUUUUAUAGACAACUUGUUGACUAUGAUUAGUCCUGUAGCUUACUCGCUUAUGCUAUUCUACCUACGCUUAGGAUGUUGAAGAUGUAGCACAUCAU
rnacentral:rRNA from 1 species